UACGAAGGGGGCUAGCGUUGUUCGGAUUUACUGGGCGUAAAGGGCGCGUAGGCGGAUUUUUAAGUCGGGGGUGAAAUCCCGGAGCUCAACUCCGGAACUGCCUUCGAUACUGAAAUUCUGGAGCACGGUAGAGGUGAGUGGAAUUCCGAGUGUAGAGGUGAAAUUCGUAGAUAUUCGGAGGAACACCAGUGGCGAAGGCGGCUCACUGGACCGUUGCUGACGCUGAGGCGAGAAAGCGAGGGGAGCAAACAGG
rnacentral:rRNA from 1 species